GGGGAAGUCCGGUGAGAGUCCGGCGCUGACCCGCAGCGGUGUGCGUGAGGGGCCCGGUGGUCCGUCGCGCGAGCCCGAUUGCCC
rnacentral:ncRNA from 1 species